UAAUGACGGUACCGUAAGAAUAAGCACCGGCUAAUNACGUGCCAGCANCCGCGGUAAUACGUAGGGUGCAAGCGUUAAUCGGAAUUACUGGGCGUAAAGCGUGCGCGGGCGGUUAUGUAAGACAGUUGUGAAAUCCCCGGGNUCAACCUGGGAACUGCAUCUGUGACUGCAUAGCUAGAGUACGGUAGAGGGGGAUGGAAUUCCGCGUGUAGCAGUGAAAUGCGUAGAUAUGCGGAGGAACACCGACGGCGAAGGCAAUCCCCUGGACCUGUACUGACGUUCAUGCACGAAAGCGUGGGGAGCAAACAGGAUUAGAUACCCUGGUAGUCCACGCCCUAAACGAUGUCAACUGGUUGUUGNGUCUUCACUGACUCAGUAACGAAGCUAACGNGUGAAGUUGACCGGCNGGGAGUA
rnacentral:rRNA from 1 species